UACGUAGGGCGCGAGCGUUGUCCGGAAUUAUUGGGCGUAAAGAGCUCGUAGGCGGCCUGUUGCGUCCGCUGUGAAAUCCCGGGGCUCAACCCUGGGCGUGCAGUGGAUACGGGCGGGCUGGAGUUCGGUAGGGGAGACUGGAAUUCCUGGUGUAGCGGUGAAAUGCGCAGAUAUCAGGAGGAACACCGGUGGCGAAGGCGGGUCUCUGGGCCGAUACUGACGCUGAGGAGCGAAAGCGUGGGGAGCGAACAGG
rnacentral:rRNA from 1 species